GGGACAGGGCCACUCCCGGCCACGUCUCCAAGCCAGCCCGGUGCCCCCUCCUUUUGCCUCCACCAUCUGAACUGCCUGGGCUGCAGACGUCUAUGGUGGAGCCUCUGGGGCCAGAUGUUAUAGGGGCCAGCUAAAAAUAACCGGGCGGGCCGGCCACCAUCGGGGGUGGGGUAGGGGUGGGGGCACGUGCUGGGCGCUGACACAUGAUCCCAGCGACCCGGCUGAGUGGAGCUGAGAGUCCGGCGGACCGUGCACACUUUGGCUCCCCACUUACAGGACCCAGCCGGCCAGAGGGCCCUCUUCCCUGAACAUGUGGGAGGAAAUGCCUUUUUCCAGCCGCAGGAUGGGCAGCGGCAGAAGGAAGGUCAUCUGGGCUCUGUGCUUCCUACUGCUUCUCCUCGAAGCCGGCUCUGCCAAGAAUCUCUGGAAACGGGCAUUGUACACUAGGCUGGCCGAGAAGUCCCGCGCCGAGGAGGCGGCGGGCCCCCGGCAGCCCCGCGCCGACCGCUGCCCGCCGCCGCCGCGCUCGCUGCCCCCCGGCGCCUGCCAGGCGGCGCGCUGCCAGGCCGACUCCGAGUGCCCGCGGCACCGUCGCUGCUGCUACAACGGCUGUGCCUACGCCUGCCUGGAGGCCGUGCCGCCCCCGCCAGUUUUAGAUUGGCUAGUGCAGCCGAAACCUCGAUGGCUUGGCGGCAACGGCUGGCUUCUGGAUGGCCCUGAGGAGGUGUUGCAAGCCGAGGCCUGCAGCACCACAGAGGAUGGGGCGGAACCCCUCCUCUGCCCCUCGGGCUACGAGUGUCACAUCCUGAGCCCUGGGGACGUAGCCGAGGGCAUCCCCAACCGCGGGCAGUGUGUCAAGCAGCGCCGGCAGGCAGCACACACAAAAAUGGAAGACUGGCACUGGUUUACAUUUCCGCUGUUCCAAUAUGCGCACGAAGAGAAGAGAGUUCGAUUCUCUCGCCUGCUUCUGCAUCCCGUCAGCCGUGACAUCACACGUCACACAGCCUCUGGAAACUCCAUGCGCACUUGGGAGGGAAUGGACGGUUCCUCCAACACAAAUUUUACAAAGAAUACCCAGAGGGUGAUUCCAAGAAUGUGGCGGAGCCUGGGAAAGGGCCCCAGAGGCACUUUGAAUAAGUCUGCGGGCCGAGCAGAUGAGUCCUCCGUUGUGCCCUGAAGUCCAUCCCUGUGUCUCUCCCUCUGUCACACGAUCCUCUCAAGUACCAACUCGUGCUUCUAGGGGCUUACCUCCUUCCGGGAGGCUAAGUAAGUCAACAAGGAAAUCAGCCUGCACCAAUGGUGAGAACAUGCCUCCAGUUUUCUGCUAAGUCUUGGAAACAGUUGGAUAAAACAGGAUUUGACCCCCGGAGGUCAUGCCCAGCUUGACAGAGCAUGACCCCAAAACUACUUAGAGGCAAGACGGCUGGCUCUCAAUGCCAGCAUGAUGCAACUGGCUGGGUGACUUUGUGGGAGCCCCUUGCCAACCCCGGGUCCCCGUCUUAUUGUCCUGAAGGUACAGCACACCUAGCAGUCCCACUUGACCUGACGGCCCCACAGACCCCACCUUGGGAGGAGGUCACUGCCUUGGUGAGCUGUACGACGCCCCUUUCUCAGAGAGAGUUCAACCUCUUGUUUACUACACAUUUCUUCCAGAUGUGUCUCUGGGAGCCAUGUACCUAUCCCAGAUGUUCUCAAAAUAAAUUGCUCCUUACAAAAUGGAAAUGAACUUA